UUUGGGAGGCUGGGCUGGGAGGAUUGCUUGAGCCCUGGAAUUUGAGACCAAUCUGGGCAACAAAGUGAGAACCCCUUCUCUAC
ensembl:miRNA